GUGUAAAAAUUUUCAUAAUGUGUCAAAAGUGUAAUUAUAAAUUUGCUGCAAUUAAAGCCGCUGUCAUUCAAACAUCAAAUAUUGUUCAGCUGUCAGCUGCACAGUUCCGUUGAGAGAAAAUCGGAGCCCGAGGAUGAUUGUAGUGAAUUGUUGGAGAAAACUAACCUGAAAAAUUGUCCACGAUUUGCAAGUUGAUGUAACCUCUUAAACAGUAUUACCAUUGAACACAUGAAUGGCAGUGUCGAAAAUAGUUCAGUGCGAAUGUAUAUCGACGUGGCCGGAUUUAGGUUGAUUACAGUUUAAAUAUGUUUUCAUAACUAGAAGACAUAUGCCCCCAAGGGUCCGCUUAGCAAAAUUAAGUCACUUAAUUGCCAACUGAAAAACACAACAACAACUUUACAAUGAAAUUUGAAACGCCACAAUGAUGACGUACGCCAGCCAACUAAACGAUUUCGUGGCAUACCCCUCAACGCUUCGCAACCUUCUGCAACGUUUUUUGCACAACACAGCAUUUAGUUGUUUAAAGUUCAUUGAAUGCGUCGACAACGACACUUUUACGUCAACAAUAAACAACGGAUUUUGCCACGUAAAUGACGUUUAAGCAUGCUAAAGUGCUGUAAAAACAAAAACACAUGACAACAACAAAUGUAAAUGCAUUUCAUGCAAGCAUACGUACAUAGAUUCAGUGCAAUCAGAAAGCAUUUACAAGAGCAAAUACAAAACAAAUAGCAAAGAAAACAACAACAAAAAUACAACAUAACAACAAUGCUAACGCUUAAGCGCACUCAUUUGCACAAAACUCACUUAAAGCAAAUUCAUUCUUUAGUUUUUAGCUUGGCAAAAGCAAUACAACGCUUCAACGCCACAAAAUAGACAAGGCGUGAAAGCGGAAAUGGCACUAGCAGACAGCACUCAGGGGGUCUGAUGGACUAACUGACUAAGAAAUGAAUGGUAGGAUGCAUGCAGACAGCAAAAACACCAACAAAGGCUAGGACAUAACGAGAGGCAGCAGAGGAGUGUACGCGGUGCCUAAAAGUAGACUACACAAUUGUUGGCAGACAUUUUUACGGCCUUUCACUGCUCCACAGGCAUUUGCAUACACAUACAUACAUACAAUAUAUAUAUACAAGCCAUAUAUAUAUAUAUAUAUAUACACUACUACAUGACGUUGGCGUUAGCGCAGCCGUCAGCAUGGUAGUCAGUCAAUCACUGAGGCAAUCGGCCUAACGCACAUUCCGACAAAGUUUUACAAGCCAGCGUGCAGCCUGAGGUGGCAUUUGGCAGGAGCUAUAAACCUUUAAAGCAGCGACAAAAUUCCGUUUGCCUCCUUUUGAAAUUAAAAUAUUGGCCUUAGGCAUAUUUUCCUCUAAUUCUUACACAAACGCACCAUAUGGUUACAGUUGUUCACACUUCAUUCACUUCAUUCUAUGAAAUAACAAUUUUAACGGUGUUUUAUUAAUUAACUUUUAUUUUAAAAACAAAGAAACAGCGAAUUUUUGAUUGCAGACAACUUUGACUGCUAAGCACAACUGCUCGCGAUAGUGCCUAAAAGUAGACAUCAGCUUUAGUGACAGUUAAGUUAGCGUUGCCACACGCUUUUUUUAAGUGGAAAAAAAUUUGUUCAAUUAUGUUUUUAUAAGUAAAGAAAUGGUACAUAUAUUUGUUAUAAAAUAGUUAUAUGAAAAAAAAUAUUUUACAUUAGUUAUAAAUAAUAAUAACUUCAAAAAAAUAAUGCUUUACUUUUUAUAUAUUUAAAAUUUAAUAAACAAUAAAAACACAUAAAACAGCAAUAUUUUAAA